rnacentral:rRNA from 1 species
UACGUAGGGUGCAAGCGUUAAUCGGAAUUACUGGGCGUAAAGCGUGCGCAGGCGGUGAUGUAAGACAGAUGUGAAAUCCCCGGGCUCAACCUGGGAACUGCAUUUGUGACUGCAUCGCUGGAGUGCGGCAGAGGGGGAUGGAAUUCCGCGUGUAGCAGUGAAAUGCGUAGAUAUGCGGAGGAACACCGAUGGCGAAGGCAAUCCCCUGGGCCUGCACUGACGCUCAUGCACGAAAGCGUGGGGAGCAAACAGGAUUGAGAUACCCGUGGUAG